rnacentral:lncRNA from 1 species
AUUACAAUAACAAUACCUCCUCUCAUAGAAUAGCCAGCAAGUCUCCACUAAAUAACAGUGCCUUGAUUUUAUAGAUGUUUCAUCAUGGAUAUUGAGUUAAUGUGAACCAUUUGUAGACACAGGAGUUUAUUAAAGACUUAUAUAAUAUCUUUCAAGUAUUUAGAAUAGUGUUGAAAUUAAGCCUGCAUCCCCACGAUUUUCAGCGGUGCUGAUGCCUAAUAAACUCAACCCCUUGCAUGCCAAAAUUGGCUUAAAGCCCAUCUGUUACCCAAGCUACACUUCAAGCAUCGAGGUUCAAAAAUGUGAUUUUGAAUAUGCAAGAGUUUGAGGAAUUCACUACUCACACUUUCUUGAACAGUCUAUCCAAGUGCAUCAAGCAAAAUGUGAGUAAAGAAAUUUUGAGCAAAGGAUUGAUAGUAAUGUUGAAUACAUUUAAUAGUAGAUCAAAGAUUAAAAGGUGAAAGUGAGGGUGAGAAGAGUGUAUGAAUGCUUUGUGUUCUGACAAAGAGAAUGUAGCACCCAGGUCCUACCUGCUUGGAUGCAUUGCCAGUGCCCACGGUAGGCCAUUUUAUCCAGGUUUUUAGGUAUUGUCUUAUUUUGUUUGUUUUUUUUCUUUUCAGGAGUCUUAGUCCAAGACCAAUAACUCCGUAACUGGUAGAUUUGGAAGACUUUAAUAGUGCUUAACAUUUUGUACAUAGCUUUAUAACAGUUUUCUUUUUCUUUUUUUCUGAGAGAUUCUUUUCAAUAUACCCCAUCAUGGUUGAACUCAAAAAUCAUUGCUUAUUUAAAAUCUACAACUGCUGACGUUUUGUAACGUUCGCAUUCCAGAUACAACAGAGAAAUGCAUAAUGUCCAGUCAAUUUAUUAAAGUUCCAAAGUCGGUCGCGCGCAGUGGCUCACGCCUGUAAUCUCAACACUUCGGGAGGCCGAGGCGUGUGGAUCACGAGAUUUCAAUAUGAUUAAAGCAGGAGUGAGGACACAGCGAAAGUGAGACAAGGAAAAGAGAACAAAAUAAAACAGGAAAGACAGAAAAGCCAAUACCACACGUGUUAAGAGUUUCAAGGAAAAUAUGUUGGGAGUUCCUGGCAUAGAGAAUGUCACAAAGACAUGUUUUCAAUAGUAGUGCUAUCCCGAGGGCAGAGAAGACCCAGAGAAAGCCCAAGUGGCUGCUGGAACAAAAUCAGACACCGUGCCACCUGUCCACACUCCUUGGCUCUGCCAUCAUGCUGAAGAUCGCUUUAAAGGACUGGCUUCCCUCCCCCCAAAAUUAAAAGAGCACAGACUGAGAAACUGAAUGUGGGAGACAGCAGUGGAUUAUGCUGUUCUCAGGGGUCACCUCAGGUUUGGAAGCAUUCUUUCAAAUUAACCCAUCUCAGGCCAUCUGCAGAGAAGAAAGGUGGUACCUAACUUUUUUUCUUGUCGGCAUUUGGUAGGGGUGUUUUAUUGACCAAAUAUGUUCCCACAACCUCGUUUUUUGUGACUAACUAAAUAUAGUAGAGUUUUAAAUUUUAUCAUCAAAAUCUAUAGACAAUUUUUGAUGAAAAUAGACUCCAUCUCUAUGUCCUGCUUUUCUUCUUCUUAUUAAUUACAUUGCUGUAUAAAAGAACAAGACUUCAGCAUCAAGAAUAUCUUGUCUCUUGGCAUUGAAUUUAUACAAGGUGCUCUUUCUUUAAUGCUGUCUCAAAGGACAUAUUUUUACUCAUUAAAAAGGAAGAUCGGAAUCUAGUUGUAUGCACUGCUCCAACAUAUUAAUAAUUAAAAUUAGGAGGUAAAUGUGGUCAAAGCUAUAGAAAGACGGAGAUGUCAUUUAUAUGGAUUACUCUAUAGCACUCUACAAACAGAAAUUGUUAAAUAAUAGUUUAUAUAAAUAUUUUGUAGCAUUUCAAAUAUUUGAGUGCUUGAAGUUUCUCCUCUUCUAUAGUUCAGAUUAUCAAUUUGAAGACUUACUCCGCUAGUUAAUAUGUUUUUAGUCUCGUUUGAGUAUUAUAUAAAAGCAAUUUUCAGUUAAAUGUGUUCCGCUUACAUAAAACGUUACAAAUUAUUGAGGAUUUAAUUACUUAUUCAUGUUCCUGUAAUGUCUUUAGAAGAUUUUCUUAUUAUUACCUAUCAAUAUAUGUAUGCUUUGUCAAAGAAAAAUCAAACAUAUAUAUCAUUGAAAUUGAAACUUUUUAAAAGUACUUAUUAAUUCUAUUGAAAAACCACAUCCAUAGGAACAAUUACAAUAUAAUAUUGUGAACAUGUAAACAUAUACCCUAUGUCUAUUUUAUGUAUAAGCAUGUAUGAUUAAAAAUAUAGUGAAGAAUUUUUAAACCUAGUAUUAUAAAGUAAAAAUUAGUUAACUUCCGAUGAUUAUUUGUUAAUUAAGAUAAAAUUAUUUUGAUUUGGGUGAUUUUAAAUAAAGAAAAAUAUUAAAUUACAUGACAAAAAUUCUUUAUAAAAUGUUUAUGAUUUUUACAUUGGUUUUAUCACUUUUCCCACUAUUUUAUUUUAAGAUGACCUGCCUUGUUUAAAACACUGUAUUCAUCUUAGUUAAAUUAGAUUCCAUUUGUAAAAUAAUUAACAAAUGAUUUGCUCUAUUGUACAGUGCGGUUAUAAACUGAGUCAGUAUCUCAAGAUUUGAUCCCCAUUAUCAUCAUCUGUGGCCCUAUUUGUUUUA